GCGAGAGUGCUGGAAUUGGCAGACAGGCACGUUUGAGGGGCGUGUAUCUUAGUGAUGUGUGGGUUCAAGUCCCAUCUCUCGCACCA
rnacentral:tRNA from 3 species